rnacentral:tRNA from 1 species
GCCGAGGUGGUGAAAUUGGUAGACACGCUUGCCUUAGGAGCAGGUACCGCAAGGUGUGGAGGUUCAAGUCCUCUCCUCGGCACCA